AAGUUAGUGCACAAAGUUAUAUAAGUAAUUUGUGUUUUUCAUGUGCUGCAUGCUAGCUAACUUACUUGUCUAAGUUACUAUAAACAGUAAUGCAUCUAACUUAUGUUCUGUAUUUGUUAUUUUAAAUUUUAUAAUUUAAUUAUUUUACAGAUCUACGGAUCAUCUAACUUGUGUUUUGUAUUUGUUAUUUUAAAUUUUAUAAUAUUUUACAGAUCUACGGAUUGAAGAAAUAGAUGCUGAGAUUAUUGCUGCACAAGUUAAAAAAGCAAUUAUUUAUCUUAGUUUUUUAAGGGUGCAUCAUCAUUCUAUGGAAUGUAAUAUGUAGUAUAAGUUGUAAAAGUUACUUUUAUUUCAUCCCCCACCCUUUUAUAAACCUCUUCUCAUUUCCCGAAUGUUUAGUUUUCCAAAAAGAGAAAAAAAACGACUCUUCAAACGUAAAAGAGAAUGCAGGAGAACAACUAAGUUAGCAAUAUUAAGUUAUCCUUGAAGUUAUGUUAUCUAAAAGCACUGCUAAGUUUAUUGUAAAAGUUAUGCUUUUUAAUUCUGUUUUAUAAGUUAUGAAGAUAUUCUUUUUAAAAAAUGAAAAAAAUUAAAGAGCGGGUGAUCCAGCAAAAGAAAGCGAAAAGAGAAUUGAAUGCCUCAAA
rnacentral:lncRNA from 1 species